rnacentral:rRNA from 1 species
UGGGGAAUCUUGGACAAUGGGGGCAACCCUGAUCCAGCGACGCCGCGUGGGUGGUAAGGCCUUCGGGUUGUAAAGCUCUUUUACCAGGGAUGAUAAUGACAGUACCUGGAGAAUAAGCUCCGGCUAACUCCGUGCCAGCAGCCGCGGUAAUACGGAGGGAGCUAGCGUUGUUCGGAAUUACUGGGCGUAAAGCGCGCGUAGGCGGUUUUUCAAGUCAGGGGUGAAAUCCCGGAGCUCAACUCCGGAACUGCCCUUGAAACUGGAUGACUAGAAUCCUGGAGAGGCGAGUGGAAUUCCGAGUGUAGAGGUGAAAUUCGUAGAUAUUCGGAAGAACACCAGUGGCGAAGGCGACUCGCUGGACAGGUAUUGACGCUGAGGUGCGAAAGCGUGGGGAGCAAACAGGAUUAGAUACCCCCGUAGUCC